rnacentral:rRNA from 1 species
UGGUGCCUUCGGGAACUGUGAGACAGGUGCUGCAUGGCUGUCGUCAGCUCGUGUUGUGAAAUGUUGGGUUAAGUCCCGCAACGAGCGCAACCCUUAUCCUUUGUUGCCAGCGGUUAGGCCGGGAACUCAAAGGAGACUGCCAGUGAUAAACUGGAGGAAGGUGGGGAUGACGUCAAGUCAUCAUGGCCCUUACGACCAGGGCUACACACGUGCUACAAUGGCGCAUACAAAGAGAAGCGACCU